CAUCGCCUCUUGCCCCCAAAUAUAAGAGGUCCAGCCUGCCCAGUGACAUAGUUUAACGGCCGCGGUACCCUAACCGUGCAAAGGUAGCAUAAUCACUUGUUCUUUAAAUAAGGACUCGUAUCAACGGCAUCACGAGGGCUGUACUGUCUCCUUUCUCCAAUCAGUGAAACUGAUCUCCCCGUGAAGAAGCGGGGAUUGACCUAUAAGACGAGAAGACCCCAUGGAGCUUUAAACCCAACACACACCUCUACUCACUCAAAUCAACAUAACCCAAGAGACUUGUGUGUUGGUUUUAGGUUGGGGGGACCGCGGAGUAAAAUCAAACCUCCAUGACAGACGGACUAACACCCUUAUCCAUGAACCACAAUUCUAAGAGCCAAUAAAUUGUUGUCUAAUGACCCAAUUACUUGAUCAACGAACCAAGUUACCCUGGGGAUAACAGCGCAAUCUACUUCAAGAGCCCCUAUCGACAAGUAGGUUUACGACCUCGAUGUUGGAUCAGGGUAUCCUAGUGGUGCAGCCGCUACUAAAGG
rnacentral:rRNA from 1 species